rnacentral:rRNA from 1 species
AUCGAACGCUGGCGGCAGGCUUAACACAUGCAAGUCGAGCGGGGUGAUGGUGCUUGCACUAUCACUUAGCGGCGGACGGGUGAGUAAUGCUUAGGAAUCUGCCUAUUAGUGGGGGACAACAUCUCGCAAGGGAUGCUAUUACCGCAUACGACCUACGGGUGAAAACAGGGGAUCUUUAUGACCUUGCGCUAAGAGAUGAGCCUAAGGCGGAUUAGCUCGUUGGUGGGGUAAAGGCCUACCCAAGCGACGAGCCGUAGCAGGGCUGGGAGGAUGAUCCGCCACGCUGGGACUGGGACACGGCCCAGACUCCUACGGGAGGCAGCAGUGGGGAAUAUUGGACAAUGGGGGGAACCCUGAUCCAGCCAUGCCGCGUGUGUGAAGAAGGCCUUAUGGUUGUAAAGCACUUUAAGCGAGGAGGAGGCUCUUUUGGUUAAUACCCAGAAUGAGUGGACGUUACUCGCAGAAUAAGCACCGGCUAACUCUGUGCCAGCAGCCGCAGUAA